rnacentral:rRNA from 1 species
GACGAACGCUGGCGGCGUGCCUAAUACAUGCAAGUCGAGCGGACCUCUUCGGAGGUUAGCGGCGGACGGGUGAGUAACACGUGGGCAACCUGCCUGUAAGACUGGGAUAACUUCGGGAAACCGGAGCUAAUACCGGAUAAUCCUUUCCCUCUCAUGAGGGAAAGCUGAAAGACGGUUUCGGCUGUCCCUUACCGAUGGGCCCGCGGCGCAUUAGCUAGUUGGUGAGGUAACGGCUCACCAAGGCGACGAUGCGUAGCCGACCUGAGAGGGUGAUCGGCCACACUGGGACUGAGACACGGCCCAGGCUCCUACGGGAGGCAGCAGUAGGGAAUCUUCCGCAAUGGACGAAAGUCUGACGGAGCAACGCCGCGUGAGCGAAGAAGGCCUUCGGGUCGUAAAGCUCUGUUGUCAGGGAAGAACAAGUAUCGGAGUAACUGCCGGUACCUUGACGGUACCUGACCAGAAAGCCGCGGCUAACUACGUGCCAGCCGCCGCGGUAA